rnacentral:rRNA from 1 species
AAUACAUCGGAACGUGCCCGAUCGUGGGGGAUAACGGAGCGAAAGCUUUGCUAAUACCGCAUACGAUCUACGGAUGAAAGCGGGGGAUCUUCGGACCUCGCGCGGACGGAGCGGCCGAUGGCAGAUUAGGUAGUUGGUGGGAUAAAAGCUUACCAAGCCGACGAUCUGUAGCUGGUCUGAGAGGAUGAUCAGCCACACUGGGACUGAGACACGGCCCAGACUCCUACGGGAGGCAGCAGUGGGGAAUUUUGGACAAUGGGGGCAACCCUGAUCCAGCCAUGCCGCGUGCAGGAUGAAGGCCUUCGGGUUGUAAACUGCUUUUGUACGGAACGAAAAGACUCUGGUUAAUACCUGGGGUCCAUGACGGUACCGUAAGAAUAAGCACCGGCUAACUACGUGCCAGCAGCCGCGGUAAUACGUAGGGUGCAAGCGUUAAUCGGAAUUACUGGGCGUAAAGCGUGCGCAGGCGGUGAUGUAAGACAGAGGUGAAAUCCCCGGGCUCAACCUGGGAACUGCCUUUGUGACUGCAUCGCUGGAGUGCGGCAGAGGGGGAUGGAAUUCCGCGUGUAGCAGUGAAAUGCGUAGAUAUGCGGAGGAACACCGAUGGCGAAGGCAAUCCCCUGGGCCUGCACUGACGCUCAUGCACGAA